GUUCGAAAAUGUUAGUUGCCGUGAAAAUAUUUCAGUUCCACGAGAUGCUUAAUGAAAGUGAACGAUAUCGGGUCACGGCAAACGGCCUAAAAGAAAAAAUAUACUUUUUAGCAACGAAAUAUGUAAACAAACCGAGCGAACAAUUUGCUAAAUGUUGACAGUAAAAUAAAUGUACAAUCCAAUAUAAAAACAAAUAAAAUAAACUCUAACGAAUAUGAAAACUCAUUUGGCCUAUAUAUAGAAAAAUUUACUUCAAAC